GAUGAACGCUGGCGGCGUGCCUAAUACAUGCAAGUCGAGCGAACAGACGAGGAGCUUGCUCCUCUGACGUUAGCGGCGGACGGGUGAGUAACACGUGGAUAACCUACCUAUAAGACUUGGAUAACUUCGGGAAACCGGAGCUAAUACCGGAUAAUAUAUUGAACCGCAUGGUUCAAUAUUGAAAGACGGUUUUGCUGUCACUUAUAGAUGGAUCCGCGCCGCAUUAGCUAGUUGGUAAGGUAACGGCUUACCAAGGCAACGAUGCGUAGCCGACCUGAGAGGGUGAUCGGCCACACUGGAACUGAGCCACGGUCCAGACUCCUACGGGAGGCAGCAGUAGGGAAUCUUCCGCAAUGGGCGAAAGCCUGACGGAGCAACGCCGCGUGAGUGAUGAAGGUCUUCGGAUCGUAAAACUCUGUUAUUAGGGAAGAACAAAUGUGUAAGUAACUAUGCACGUCUUGACGGUACCUAAUCAGAAAGCCACGGCUAACUACGUG
rnacentral:rRNA from 1 species